GGGGAUUUAGCUGAGUGGUAUAAGCGCCUGCCUGGCAAGCAUUAGGUGGUUAAUUUAAUCCCUG
rnacentral:tRNA from 1 species